UCGGAUAUGGUGUAACGGCUAACAUUUGCGCCUCUCAUUACAGGACGCGCAAGCUCGGGGUUCGAUUCCCCGUAUCCGAA